rnacentral:rRNA from 1 species
GCAAGUCGAGCGGUAACAUUUCUAGCUUGCUAGAAGAUGACGAGCGGCGGACGGGUGAGUAAUGCUUGGGAAUAUGCCUUAUGGUGGGGGACAACAGUUGGAAACGACUGCUAAUACCGCAUAACGUCUACGGACCAAAGGGGGGGAUCUUCGGAACCUCUCGCUCAUAGAUUAGCCCAAGUGGGAUUAGCUAGUUGGUGAGGUAAUAACUCACCAAGGCGACGAUCCCUAGCUGGUUUGAGAGGAUGAUC